ensembl:lncRNA
ACAAAAUUCAUCCCACAGCAAAGGGCACUUGCAUUGUCCUUCAUUGUUAUGGAACCUGUGCUGUAUCUUUGCCUUGGGUGGGUCAGCCAAAUAACCACCAUGACAAAGUGCUGUGUUUCUUCCCACAGGUUACGGAAGGGCUCCUUACUUGCUCUGAACAGCCGUUAUAGAAAUAAAUUUGAAGCGUGGCCUACAACCAGGACUACAGGUUGCCACGGGCUAAGAACAAACACGCAUGGUCAAUUACCACGGCUCGGUGGAUGCACGGUAAGUUGUCAAACACGUCAGCACAUGAAUGAGAUCACUCAUUCAUGUAUUCAGACCCUGAAAGCAUCAUUUUAAACUGGCUUUACAUAAACAAGUGUAACUAUGGGUAAGGACACGUGAACAAAUUAGUGUGGGGAUAACAAGUUCUUAUGUGUCAGCUUUCCCAUAAGCCUAGGUGAUUAGAGGUAGCCCCGUCCACUUUUACUGAGGGGGAAGGUAUAGCCAGUGCAUGGCAAAUCCAUAGCCUGGCGUCCAUUGCUGUAAUUGUUUUAAUGUAGUCUAAAACAUUUUAGCUUUGCUAAAAUGUAAUAAAACAGAUUUAAACCACUCCUAUACCA